UAUAACUAACUUCCUUCCUUCCUGCCUUCCUCCCUCCCUGCCUUCCCUUCCUUCCUGCCUUCCUUCUUCCUUCCUCCCUUUUUUCUUUUCUCCCUUCCUUCCUUCUUAAUAUGUUUUUGGCCUUUUCUUUAUAUAUGUGGCCUAGCAAUAUCCUGUGUUUGGAAAAGUAUAAACCUAAGGCAUCACCUUUACAGAAAAUAUCUUCCACGGAAACAUCUAAAGGCAAAAAUCCUUCAAAUUCAAAUUUAUCCAAUCAUUUCUUCUGCUUACUACCAUCCUAAAUCAUUUUUCUUUAGUAAGAUCUAUUAGUGUGAAGCUAUUAAGCUAUUAAUGUAUGUAUCAUAUUAAUGUAUUAAGACAUUAAGUGAGGAAGUAAAGUUGCAUUCACAGGCCUUGAACUUUUCCACAUCUCGAUUUUUACCCAUCAUCUCUGCAUAGUUCCCUAAGGCAGCCUUCAAAUGGUGAUGUUUCUUAUAAUCCAGAGUUCAGAAGUGGCUUCUCUUCAAUCUUUCUGUGGAAUUCUAAACCACGUGAUAAAGGAGCUGGUGGCCACAGAUCAGCCCUGGGGUUCAGAGGGAUCCUGACAGCUACUCCUCAAGAUCCUCUCUGUUGUGAUUCAUCCCCCCGGGGCCCUACAGUUUCUCCUUCCUGACUCUUACAUUUCUUUGGAUGGCAUCAUUAUUUACCUGUCUCCUCCCAUAGUUAGGUGCCAAGCACUGUGGAUUCUGCCUCUCAGUGUCCAGACACCCAUUUUCCUUCCCACUGUUCCUUCCCCAUGGAGAAGCCUGUGGCUGGCUGACAGCAGAGAGAGAUGCUCAACUUGGAGAAGGUGUUACCUGGGCCAGGUGGGGAAGGUUUGUUUGCAGAGCAAAGAAGUGAAGCCUAUUCAACGUGAAAAAGAUGAGGAUGAAGACCUUUAUUAUGAUCCACUUCCAAGUAAUGAACACACUGGAGAAAGUCAGACAGUCAAAACAAUGUCCCAGACUCCGUGAAGUUCCUGGGUAGAGAAGGAGACAGACAUAUACCAUACCUAAUAAUUGGAUGUCCGAGAGAAUGAGAGAAUGGCAGAAAGAACUUUAGAGCAUGGGUAUGAUGGCUAGAGCUUGAGCAGCCAUUGUGGACAUCAGAUGAACUUGAAAGUGAAAACUAUGAGCUGAAUACGACAAAGCAAACAGAUAGAAAACUGGAUUCAUUAUGACAUUGCAAAGCUGCCAGACCAGCUCUAGUCUGCUUCCCCCUAAUCUUCCUUACUAAGAGAGAGAAAUAAACUUCCAUCUUCUUCAAGCCACUGGUACAUGCAGCUGAGUCUAAUCCUCAGUCAGAUAACCUUUCCGAGUAUUUUCCUACCAUAUGAUUAGAACAUAAUAUGCUGGUGCAUCUGACUACUUACUAGAUGGUUGCAUUUUGAUUUCCCAGAGACAUCUUAAGGUCAACAUGUUCAAAACCAAACAUCUUCCUUUCUUAAGGCUGCAUCCCACCCGGUUGUUGAAGUCAGAAACCUGGAUUCUACAUUCUCCCUUAACCCCAUAUCCAAUUAAAGCAGGCAGAAUAAUGGCUCCCUCAAAGAUGUCCACAUUCUAAUCCUCAGAACCUAUUAAUAUGCUACUUCAUAU
rnacentral:lncRNA from 1 species